ensembl:lncRNA
GUAAUAUAUAGUGUGCAGUAUGUAAUAUAUAGUGUGUAAUAUAUAGUGUGUAAUAUAUAGUGUGCAGUGUGUAAUAUAUAGUGUGCAGUGUGUAAUAUAUAGUGUGCAGUGUGUAAUAUAUAGUGUGUAAUAUAUAGUGUGCAGUGUGUAGUAUAUAGUGUGCAGUGUGUAAUAUAUAGUGUGCAGUGUGUAGUAUAUAGUGUGCAGUGUGUAGUAUAUAGUGUGCAGUGUGUAGUAUAUAGUGUGCAGUGUGUAGUAUAUAGUGUGUAAUAUAUAGUGUGCAGUGUGUAAUAUAUAGUGUGCAGUGUGUAAUAUAUAGUGUGCAGUGUGUAAUAUAUAGUGUGUAAUAUAUAGUGUUGCAUAUGUAAUAUAUAGUGUGUAAUAUAUAGUGUGCAGUGUGUAAUAUAUAGUGUGUAAUAUAGUGUGCAGUGUGUAAUAUAUAGUGUUAAUAUAUAGUGUGCAGUGUGUAAUAUAUAGUGUGCAGUAUGUAAUAUAUAGUGUGUAAUAUAUAGUGUGUAAUAUAUAGUGUGCAGUGUGUAAUAUAUAGUGUGCAGUGUGUAAUAUAU